rnacentral:rRNA from 1 species
UAGGGAAUCUUCCGCAAUGGGCGAAAGCCUGCCGGAGCAACGCCGCGUGAGUGAUGAAGGUCUUCGGAUCGUAAAACUCUGUUAUUAGGGAAGAACAAAUGUGUAAGUAACUAUGCACGUCUUGACGGUACCUAAUCAGAAAGCCACGGCUAACUACGUGCCAGCAGCCGCGGUAAUACGUAGGCGGCAAGCGUUAUCCGGAAUUAUUGGGCGUAAAGCGCGCGUAGGCGGUUUUUUAAGUCUGAUGUGAAAGCCCACGGCUCAACCGUGGAGGGUCAUUGGAAACUGGGAAGCUUGAGUGCAGAAGAGGAAAGUGGAAUUCCAGGUGUAGCGGUGAAAUGCGCAGAGAUAUGGAGGAACACCAGUGGCGAAGGCGACUUUCUGGUCUGUAACUGACGCUGAUGUGCGAAAGCGUGGGGAUCAAACAGG